CCGUACGAGCGCACCCUUGUCCCUAGUUGCCAGCACUUCGGGUGGGAACUCUAGGGAGACUGCCGGUGACAAACCGGAGGAAGGUGGGGAUGACGUCAAGUCAUCAUGGCCCUUAUGGGGAGGGCUACACACGUGCUACAAUGGCCGGUACAGAGGGCGGCGAAGCCGCGAGGUGGAGCGAAUCUCAGAAAACCGGUCGUAGUCCGGAUUGCAGUCUGCAACUCGACUGCAUGAAGCCGGAAUCGCUAGUAAUCGCGGAUCAGAACGCCGCGGUGAAUACGUUCCCGGGCCUUGUACACACCGCCCGUCACACCAUGGGAGUGGGCUGUACCAGAAGUAGGUAGUCUAACCUUCGGGAGGACGCUUACCACGGUGUGGUUCAUGACUGGGGUGAAGUCGUAACAAGGUAGCCCUAGGGGAACCUGGGGCUGGAUCACCUCCUUU
rnacentral:rRNA from 1 species